UCCCUGUUAGCUCAGUCGGUAGAGCGUUCGGCUUUUAAACGCCUUUAUGGGCAAGAAGUCGACCGAACGGUCGGGGGUUCGAGCCCCCCAUAGGGAG